UCUAGCCUACAUGUCACAUCCCGGGGUCCCUUUUUUAUUUAAAGUAAAGCGGAAGUGCCCAUAUUUUUUUUUUAUUUUUUUUUAUUUUUUUAACCUUGACCCCUAGGGUAUGCCAGAUCCGCCACAAAUACAGGGAGUCCACUGUUCACACGGACAGAGUCUCCCCUGUAUUUGCACGGCGUCCUACAAGUACAAGAUACAACUUUACUAUACCAAAUACAACCACACAUAUGAACAUCCACAGAUAAUCAUACACCAUUCACAACCAUAUUUAUUUUAUCACGAAUAUUCAUAAUUUAUAUCUAUCAGUUUAAAAUGUUUCCUACCCGAAAACUCGUUUUGAAAUACUAAGAGUCAUGAAAACCAAUAAAAUCUUUUCAAAACCGUUUCCCACACGGAAACCAUUUUCUUUAAAACACGCUACCACGAGGGGUAGAAAG
rnacentral:lncRNA from 1 species